rnacentral:rRNA from 1 species
CCUACGGGUGGCAGCAGUGAGGAAUAUUGGUCAAUGGACGCAAGUCUGAACCAGCCAUGCCGCGUGCAGGAAGACGGCUCUAUGAGUUGUAAACUGCUUUUGUACGAGGGUAAACGCAGAUACGCGUAUCUGUCUGAAAGUAUCGUACGAAUAAGGAUCGGCUAACUCCGUGCCAUCAGCCGCGGUAAUACGGAGGGUUCAAGCGUUAUCCGGAUUUAUUGGGUUUAAAGGGUGCGUAGGCGGUCGGAUAAGUUAGAGGUGAAAUCCCGAGGCUCAAAUUCGGAAUUGCCUCUGAUACUGGUCGGCUAGAGAGUAGUAGCGGUAGGCGGAAUGUAUGGUGUAGCGGGGAAAUGCUUAGAGAUCAUACAGAACAACGAUGGCGAAGGAAGCUUACCAAGCUA